rnacentral:rRNA from 1 species
AGCGAACGCUGGCGGCGGGCCUAACACAUGCAAGUCGAACGAAGUCUUCGGACUUAGUGGCGGACGGGUGAGUAACACGUGGGAACGUGCCUUUAGGUUCGGAAUGACUCAGGGAAACUUGUGCUAAUACCGAAUGUGCCCUUCGGGGGAAAGAUUUAUCGCCUUUAGAGCGGCCCGCGUCUGAUUAGCUAGUUGGUGAGGUAAUGGCUCACGAAGGCUACGAUCAGUAGCUGGUCUGAGAGGAUGACAAGCCACAUUGGGACUGAGACACGGCCCAAACGCCUACGGGAGGCAGCAGUGUGGAAUCUUGCGCAAUGGGCGAAAGCCUGACGCAGCCAUGCCGCGUGGAUGAUGAAGGUCUUAGGAUUGUCAAAUCCUUUCACCGGUGAAGAUAAUGACUGUAGCCGGAGAAGAAGCCCCGGCUAACUUCGUGCCAGCCGCCGCGGUAAAAC